rnacentral:tRNA from 1 species
GGGGUUGUGGCUCAGUGGUAGAGUGCUCCCCUCCUAUGUUGGAGGCACUGCGUUUGAUCCUCAGCACCACA